rnacentral:rRNA from 1 species
UAGGGAAUCUUCCACAAUGGGUGCAAACCUGAUGGAGCAAUGCCGCGUGAGUGAAGAAGGUCUUCGGAUCGUAAAGCUCUGUUGUUAGAGAAGAACACGUGCUAGGUAACUACUAGCGCCUUGACGGUAUCUAACCAGAAAGUCACGGCUAACUACGUGCCAGCAGCCGCGGUAAUACGUAGGUGACAAGCGUUGUCCGGAUUUAUUGGGCGUAAAGGGAGCGCAGGCGGUCUGUUUAGUCUAAUGUGAAAGCCCACGGCUUAACCGGGGGAGGGCAUUGGAAACUGUCAGACUUGAAUGUAGAAGAGGAAAAUGGAAUUCCAAGUGUAGCGGUGGAAUGCGUAGAUAUUUGGAGGAACACCAGUGGCGAAGGCGAUUUUCUGGUCUA